CAGGUUCUUCCAAGACAUUCCAGUCAAAGAACUACCCCAAUAACUACCCCGGGGGUAAGAAGUGCACCUGGAAAUUCCGCACUUCUACCGACUCCAAGUUGAGCAUCGAGUGUGAUGAUUUCCAGCUGCAACACUCGAAAAACUGCAAAAAGAUUUCUUCCGCGUCACAGAUUCCUCUGGUUUUAAGAAAAAGUACUGCGGUGUCAAGGGUUCUCUGACUGUGUCUGAUAAAUCUAGUAAAGUUACUGUCUUGUUCAAAACAAACAAGAA